CCAGAGUUGCAAUUUUGAAAUCCUAGCUGACUUAGAGAAUUUUUCCAGUUUGGCUUUUCUGAACUUCUCAAUAUAGCAGCUUCCUCUUGUUGUGAGAUGGUCGUUUUCACUUAUCUCAAGUGACUCCCAGACAUCCUCUGGAUGAGAUUCUUUUCAACUCCAAGUUGAAGUUCAAUAGCCUUAACGUUUUGACUGUGGAGGUGGG